AUUGCACGCUGGCGGCAUGCCUAACACAUGCAAGUCGACCGGUAACGCGGGGGCAACCCUGGCGACGAGUGGAGGACGGGUGAGGAAUACGUAGGAAUAUGCCCAUUUGUGGGGGAUAACCCGGCGAAAGCCGGGCUAAUACCGCAUACGCUCUACGGAGGAAAGCGGGGGCUCCCAAGACCUAGCGCUAAUGGAUGAGCCCACGUCGGAUUAGCUAGUUGGAAGGGUAACGGCCUACCAAGGCGACGAACCGUAGCUGGUCUGAGAGGACGAUCAGCCACACUGGGACUGAGACACGGCCCAGACUCCUACGGGAGGCAGCAGUGGGGAAUAUUGGACAAUGGUGGCAACCCUGAUCCAGCAAUGCCGCGUGUGUGAAGAAGGCCUGCGGGUUGUAAAGCACUUUCAGAGGGGAAGAAAAAAUCGGAGCUAACACCUCCGAGCUUGACGUUACCCUUAGAAGAAGCACCGGCUAACUCCGUGCCAGCAGCCGCAGUAACAC
rnacentral:rRNA from 1 species